rnacentral:misc_RNA from 1 species
AUACAGCUGUUCAUAAUGAGGAGUAAACGAUAUAAACUGAACCACGUGGAAAUACCUGAACGAUUAAAGAAGGAUGCGAGGGAGGUCAUUCUAGACUUUAUCCGUUCGAGACCUCCACUUAGGCCUGCGAGUGCUAGGCAGUUGAAACCUCUCAGGAAGGAAAGUACCCCUGGAGAACUACUGAUGCAGGAUAUUCGGAGUUGUAAAGCUAGACAAUCUUUAAGAAGAACCAACAUGCCAAAACCAAUCAGAUCUCAAUUUGAGGAGAAGUCCCGAACACGAUUAGAUGGAAAAUUAGAUAAUCUUUCCCCUGGUGAUAAGGUGAAUAAGAAGGUGAUAGACCUGGACGAAAGUAUGCUCAAGAAUAUGCUGGACUUCGAGACAGAGGAAAACUCGUCCAACACGUCACAGGAAGCUGUAUUCCUGGACGAAAGUGUUGUUACCCCUGACACAACUCCAGUCUCCACAUCAAGGAAAAAGUCGACAGGGCGACGAAACUCCCUAAAUAAGUCGACAGACCGACGAGGGUCUUUAGUUAAGUCGAAUUGGAGAAAGUCUGUUUCUGUGAUGGAAAGUCCAACUAGCCAGAGCACUGACCUAAGUACACCUAUUCUCUCUCCACUCACGAGGAAGAAAGACGACAUUCAUGAAUAUUUAUCCAGUACUGUGCUGGGGAGUAAGGAUUGGGAUUUUGUGAAAAAUCUUCAUUCCUUGGAUCUAACAAUUGAGGAACUAGCACAUAUAAGAGCACAGCUUACAAAAGCAGAGUUGGAAGAGAAAAAUAUGGGAGAGGAGAAAAAACGAGAUUUAGAGAAAGGGCGUCUUUGUUUUGUGUGUGAAGUAGUAAAGUUUGGAGUAUUCAAUUGGGCGAGUUAUUGUAUCAUUUGUAACAAAUAUAUUUGUUCUAAAUGUGUGACUAAAAUCAAACUACCUUCUGACAAUCUACGUGAGAUACCAGUUUCCAUUCUUACAAAUCAAUUGUGUAGUAAUCAACAUCCAGAUGUCGAGGCAGAGUACUCAGUCAUUCGGAGACUCUCAGUUCAAAUAGGUCUUCCCACCAAACCCAUACGCUCCGGCCUCUCCCCAACAACCACGCCCUCCAGACCCAACCCUACCACCCAGCACAGGCCGAGGCUGUUCCGUCAGCAAACCUCGCCGGAUCUUAAAGGUUCUCAACCCGCCUCAACAGCCUCCAGAUCUGGACUCGAGAGAUCUGGAUGGAACAGAAACUCAUUGCGUAAUCCUCCCCAGGUUCCUUCAUCCAUCCAACAAACUGCCCCUUCUAGACCUAAACUAGUCAGAUCUAAAACAAUGACGAAGAAUGAUGUAGAGAAAUUACAAACAUUGAAACUAUCCCAGCCUGGUUCCUUGCACUCCACCUGUACUACCUGUAGAGAUAUACUUACUUGUCUAGUCAGAGCUAAGAUGGAGACAGACAAACUUCAUAAGAUUAAAGGUCGUCUUACUACUUUUCAAGAAGAGAACAUAACACCCUACUAGAAGAACAUACCGUCCUCCUUGGAGUAAAUAACGCCUUCUAGAAGAAGAUCCUAACACCCCUCUGAAUAACAAUAGUGAAUUAUCAGGGCACUAAAAUUUUGAAUGUGGAUCUGGAUCCGUGUUAUUCAAUCUGAAUUAUUUGAGAAACUUCUAAAGCGAAUAAAAAAUGUUGUAAAUUUAUUUUAAAACCUUUUGAAGGUUACAACGAAAAUCUAUGAAAAAAGUAGCCCUUUCUUUACAGAUUAAGUAUUGCAAUGGUAUACAAACUAAAUAUAUUAAAAGAAAAAAUAUGAAAAUAUUCAUUUAUUAAAAUAUUCAUUUAUUAAAAAAAACAUUUUUGAAGUACAUUUAACACGCAUUUUCUUUAAAAAAAGUCUUUUACUGUAUUUAUACCAAACUUAAUUGUACCUCAGUUUAAACAAACUAGAUAUUUACGAAUGCAUUUAAUUUACAUUUUGUAUUAAAAACAAUUUCAUUUAUUGUAGUUUUGCUAUUGUACAGGAAGAGGGGAGGAUCAUGUACCGCAGCUUUGAUCAAACUGAUGCUUUUAACAUUGCAUUUAUUAUUUAUCAAAACCAUUCCCAUUUGUGUCAAAAUGUUAUAUUUUUUUAUGAAAUUUUAUAUUUUUGAUAAUAUAUUGUGCAAUAUUAUGUACUCCUAAUAAUUAGGACAAUAAUUGAUAUUUUUAUACUAACUUUACAUUUGUAGCUAUAUUUGCCCUCGACCUGUGAACAUCGUAUUUUUACUGAAACAUCUUUUAAUGCUGAGGUUUUUAUUUAACAUCUACAUUAUUUCCUUCCCAUUUUUUUCAAAUUUAUUAGGAAGAAUUUUUUUUAAAAAAUUUCAAUAAUUUUCUGAUUUUUUAUUUAUUUUGUUAGCAAUAUUAAUUUAGGUUAAAGGCUUUUAGUUCUAAAAUUCAAUCUUUUCUUACAAUCCAUUCCUUCUUUGAAAUACUUUAUUUUCAGUCAACAUUUAGAUCAAUUCAAUAUUUAACUCCUUACAUUUAUGUUAUGCCUGGGUAGGUUGCUACAAACAACAUCAAUUUUGUGAUAUGUAUUUAAAAUAAAUAUGUAUUUUUCACUUUAA